AUCGCCCAAAGGGAAAGGCACAAAAAUACAAUAGCCCCCUCUUCAUUUCAGAUUACAUUUGUUAAUCCAAACAAAUCGCUGGAACUGAAUUUGGAUCAGCUUAUUGUGGUGGCCGCUUGAAAUGUCUUGCUUCGUCAUUUGCAUCUUUGGAGUUCUCCCCACACAGGCCAAGUGGGGCGGAGGGGAAUUUAGAGCUCCCGCCUCACCCUGCUUCCUCAUCCAGAAGCUAGCCCAGCGGGCCAAGGGCUGGGUCAACAGCCCCUCUCUGUGCCGAGUCUAGGAGGGAGCGCUUGUCCCUCACCCGCCACACCUCACGCGGUGAGAGCUCCACGAGUCUUCACGAGCAUCACGGUGGCUGUAAUUCAAGGUCGCGGGGAGCAGGCCUGCGGAUCAAAGGCGGUACCUGCAUCAAUAUUCUUAGAUCCUAAAAGCUUGUCCUUCAGGGGAAUUUUGGAGCAAGUAGAGGAUGGAGGGAAAAGGGGACAUGUUCACUGAAGACCUCACAGCCUCAGCAAAGCCAUCAAAGAUCCUGAAUACCAGCUACCUCACCAGAAAGAAAAGAAGUCAUGAGAAGAGAUGAGCAUCACGGGCCAGUGGAACGGGCCUGGGACUUAGGAACCACACACAGACACAUCUGGUCAGUGCCCAGCAAGGAGCAG